ACUACGGGUGGCAGCAGUGAGGAAUAUUGGUCAAUGGGCGCGAGCCUGAACCAGCCAAGUCGCGUGAGGGAAGACGGUCCUAUGGAUUGUAAACCUCUUUUGUCGGGGAGCAAAAGACGCCACGCGUGGCGUUCCGAGAGUACCCGAAGAAAAAGCAUCGGCUAACUCCGUGCCAGCAGCCGCGGUAAUACGGAGGAUGCGAGCGUUAGCCGGAUUUAAUGGGGUUAAAGGGAGCGUAGAUGGGUUGUUCAGGCAGUUGUGUAAUUUUGCGGCUCAACCGUAAAAUUGCAAUUGAUACUGGCAGUCUUGAGUACAGUUGAGGUAGGCGGAAUUCGUGGUGUAGCGGUGAAAUGCUUAGAUCUCACGAAGAACCCCGAUUGCGAAGGCAGCUUACUAAACUGUGACUGCCAUUGAUGCUCG
rnacentral:rRNA from 1 species